GACGAACGCUGGCGGUGUGCUUAACACAUGCAAGUCGAACGGUAAGGCCCUUUCGGGGGUACACGAGUGGCGAACGGGUGAGUAACACGGGAGUAACCUGCCCUCAUCUCUGGGAUAACAGUCGGAAACGGUUGCUAAUACUGGAUAUGAGCUUGCAAGGCAUCUUGCGGGUUGGAAAGAUUUUUUUGGUUGGGGAUGGACUCGCGGCCUAUCAGCUUGUUGGUGAGGUAGUGGCUCACCAAGGCUUCGACGGGUAGCCGGCCUGAGAGGGCGACCGGCCACAUUGGGACUGAGAUACGGCCCAAACUCCUACGGGAGGCAGCAGUGGGGAAUAUUGCACAAUGGACGGAAGUCUGAUGCAGCAACGCCGCGUGCGGGAUGACGGCCUUCGGGUUGUAAACCGCUUUCAAUUGUGACGAAGCUUUUUGUGACGGUAGCAGUAGAAGAAGCACCGGCUAACUACGUG
rnacentral:rRNA from 1 species